rnacentral:rRNA from 1 species
CGGCCUGGUUACGAUGUCGAUUUGGAGGUUGUGCCCUUGAGGCGUGGCUUCCGAAGCUAACGCGUUAAAUCGACCGCCUGGGGAGUACGGCCGCAAGGUUAAAACUCAAAUGAAUUGACGGGGGCCCGCACAAGCGGUGGAGCAUGUGGUUUAAUUCGAUGCAACGCGAAGAACCUUACCUACUCUUGACAUCCAGCGAAUCCUGUAGAGAUACGGGAGUGCCUUCGGGAACGCUGAGACAGGUGCUGCAUGGCUGUCGUCAGCUCGUGUUGUGAAAUGUUGGGUUAAGUCCCGCAACGAGCGCAACCCUUAUCCUUUGUUGCCAGCGGUUCGGCCGGGAACUCAAAGGAGACUGCCAGUGAUAAACUGGAGGAAGGUGGGGAUGACGUCAAGUCAUCAUGGCCCUUACGAGUAGGGCUACACACGUGCUACAAUGGCGUAUACAAAGAGAAGCGAACUCGCGAGAGCAAGCGGACCUCAUAAAGUACGUCGUAGUCCGGAUUGGAGUCUGCAACUCGACUCCAUGAAGUCGGAAUCGCUAGUAAUCGUGGAUCAGAAUGCCACGGUGAAUACGUUCCCGGGCCUUGUACACACCGCCCGUCACACCAUGGGAGUGGGUUGCAAAAGAAGUAGGUAGCUUAACCUUCGGGAGGGCGCUUACCACUUUGUGAUUCAUGACUGGGGUGAAGUCGUACAAGGGUAAACCAAUUU